GAUGAAGAACGUAGCGAAAUGCGAUAAGUAAUGUGAAUUGCAGAAUUCAGUGAAUCAUCGAAUCUUUGAACGCACAUUGCGCCCGCCAGUAUUCUGGCGGGCAUGCCUGUUCGAGCGUCAUUACAACCCUCAGGCCCCCGGGCCUGGCGUUGGGGAUCGGCGGAGCCCCCCGUGGGCUCACGCCGUCCCCCAAAUACAGUGGCGGUCCCGCCGCAGCUUCCAUCGCGUAGUAGCUAACACCUCGCGACUGGAGAGCGGCGCGGCCACGCCGUAAAACACCCAACUCUUCUGAAGUUGACCUCGAAUCAGGUAGGAAUACCCGCUGAACUUAAGCAUAUCAAUAAGCGGAGGA
rnacentral:misc_RNA from 1 species